rnacentral:rRNA from 1 species
AAUAGAUACCCUGGUAGUCCACACCGUAAACGUUGGGCGCUAGGUGUGGGAUCCAUUCCACGGGUUCCGUGCCGUAGCUAACGCAUUAAGCGCCCCGCCUGGGGAGUACGGCCGCAAGGCUAAAACUCAAAGGAAUUGACGGGGGGCCCGCACAAGCGGCGGAGCAUGCGGAUUAAUUCGAUGCAACGCGAAGAACCUUACCUGGGUUUGACAUACACCGGAAAGCAUCAGAGAUGGUGCCCCUUUUUGUCGGUGUACAGGUGGUGCAUGGCUGUCGUCAGCUCGUGUCGUGAGAUGUUGGGUUAAGUCCCGCAACGAGCGCAACCCUCGUCCUAUGUUGCCAGCACGCCCUACCAGUUCGGCUGGGGGGUGGUGGGGACUCAUGGGAGACUGCCGGGGUCAACUCGGAGGAAGGUGGGGAUGACGUCAAGUCAUCAUGCCCCUUAUGUCCAGGGCUUCACGGCAUGCUACAAUGGCCGGUACAGGAGGGCUGCGACUCCCGGUGGAGGGGGGUAGCGAACUCCCGUAAAAACGGCCGGUCUCAGGUUUCGGAGUUGGGGGUU